CUGAUAGGUAGCGCUGUGACACGGCUGACAUCUUCAACUAGUUAAAUCCAGAUAGAUCUGAGUAAACAAACCAACCAGGGUGGUACGAGUUCGCGGUGUGGAGAGCUCUUACCUUUGUCCUCAAGCGCAGUUGACGACAAAAACACUACGCUACGAGUUACGUCUGUGCCAUUGGUGCUGUACUGCAGCACCUGGUCAUCACUCCACAUUUGGUACAUCAAAAACUUCUUCCUAUUUGCCAAUAGAAGUCGACCUGCUAUCCCCAGACUUAUCAUACUUCACAGCAUUUACACCUCCAGAUACAGAUUUUCAAGGAGAAGAAAGGCUCCAAGGAAAGCAUGACCGCGCAGG